UCAUCCCUUUCUGACUUUCACAGGGAGAAGUUCCCUUGGCCUUCACUGGACUUGCUAUUUUCAGUGUCUCCUUGGAUCACAUUCCUGCCAAGGCCCUUCUCCGCUUUCAGAUUGACUCAGACUAACCACUCGCAGAUGUCUUCUGGGAGCUGUGACAUGUCCCAUGUCCCAGCAAUGCUGGAGGGAUGCAGUGCUUGAGAGCUGCCUAAGGAAAUGAAUAUACAAUUUUAGAUGCUGAUAUGCUGCUGCCCAGCCGGAGGCAACUUUUCCCAGAUCCUUUGCAUGUGGUUGUGACCAGUUCUCCCCGAUGAGACGUGACUGGAAGUCAGUUCUGGACCAAGACUUUUGAGAAGCAAGCAUGUGUCCUCUGCUCUCCUUCCCCAUCUGCUGGCUUGGAUACAGAAGCUGGCCAGGCCCUGGGGAUGCUGGAGGCCUGAGUUGGAAGGAACCUUCAUCCCCGAAAGGCUGGGAGGGAGCUGUGCAUUUACCAGGAGCAUCCACCUCAUGCUAUUAUGUGAGCAAGAAAUAAACUUCUGUGUAUUUCAUUCAUUA